AUCGCCCGGGAACUACGAGCAAAGCUUAAAACCCAAAGGACUUGACGGUACCCCACAUCCACCUAGAGGAGCCUGUCCUAUAAUCGAUAACCCCCGCUUAACCUCACCAUUUUUAGCCUAUCAGCCUGUAUACCUCCGUCGCCAGCUUACCACGUGAGCGACCCUCAGUGAGCUUAAUGUUUAUACACCAACACGUCAGGUCAAGGUGCAGCAGAUAAAAUGGGAAGAGAUGGGCUACACUCUCUAUUCUAGAAAAUACGGAAGACUAUUUAUGAAACCUAGUCAAAAGGCGGAUUUAGUAGUAAAAAGAGACAAGAGUGCUCUUUUUAACAUGGCACUGGGGUGUGUACACACCGCCCGUCACCCUCUUCAAAGCUAAUAUAAAGUCCUUAACACACCUAAGCACUACAGAAGAGGCAAGUCGUAACAUGGUAAGUAUACCGGAAGGUGUGCUUGGAAA
rnacentral:rRNA from 1 species